CGCAUCUGUGCAUGCAGCAUAUCAAUAAGCGGAGGAAAAGAAACUAACAAGGAUUCCCCUAGUAACGGCGAGUGAAGCGGGAAGAGCUCAAAUUUGAAAUCUUAAAGGGUUUCCCUUUACGAAUUGUAGUUUAAAGAAGUGUUUUCUGUUGAGGUUUUGGUAAAAGUUCUUUGGAAUAGGACAUCAUAGAGGGUGAGAAUCCCGUAUUUGACCUUUACUUUCAACUUUGUGAUACACUUUCAAAGAGUCGGAUUGUUUGGGAAUGCAGUCCAAAAUGGGUGGUAAAUUUCAUCUAAAGCUAAAUAUUGGCGAGAGACCGAUAGCGAACAAGUACCGUGAGGGAAAGAUGAAAAGAACUUUGAAAAGAGAGUUAAACAGUACGUGAAAUUGUCAAAAGGGAAGCGUUUGACACCAGUGUUGUUUUUCUGAAAAUCAAUUAAAGAACUGUUUAUGCUAAGCUGUUUAGACUUUAUCAGCUAAUCUGUUUAGUUUUGAGCUUUUCUUUAAUGCACUUUUCAGUUAACAAGUCAACAUCAAUUUCUUUUGCUGUAAAAAAGCUUGAGGAAGGUGGCUUGAGAUUCGUCUUAAGUGUUUAUAGCCUCUUGCCUAUGCAGUCGGAGAGAUUGAGGUCUGCAGCGUAGAUCCUUCGGGGCUAAAUGCAUUUGUGCUAAGUUAUAACAUUUUAUAGACAACUUGUUGACUAUGAUUUGUCUUGUAGCUUACUCGCUUAUGUUAUUUUACCUACGCUUAGGAUGUUGAACGCGCACAGAGUCUC
rnacentral:rRNA from 1 species